ACCAAAUCUCCUCUUCCUUUUCUCUUAAAACAAAAUCUAACCUAUAUAUCCCUGGGCUCCCUCCUUUAUCUGGCCCAUCUCUCCUUGUUCCCACCGCAGGCCCGAGCACACUCAUCUUUUCCCGGUCGCUUUCUUCCAGCCGAGCGAGCACAUGGAUGGCGUGACCGUGGUCCAUCCACCCAACCACCAUCGACCUCCACUCACCAGCUCCCUCAUGCGCCCCCUCUCCUUAUCUUCUACACGCCUUCUCCUCUACGCCAACCACGCUCCCUCUCCUUUCCCCUUCUCCACGAAAGGGAAGCCCCUCCAGGAACACCACGGAGAAACCCCCCACAGCAACCACCGACCUUGCUAUGGCGCCGCCGCUACACACCUUCCCUCGCCACUCCGAGGGCACCAAAAGAUGCGCCUCGUCCUCCUCUUCAAGCUGGUACAAGGAAUCGAGCCGGGAGAGCUCUAAUCAACAGCGAAUUCGCCGAUUCCAUCUCCGACCUGCUGCACUCCGGCGAGGAUUCCAGCCACCUCCUUCCUUCCCCGCCAUCUCCAGCCACACGUACACGUUCAGGAUGCUCGCCGUCGGCCUACCUCCGGUGGUUCCCCGGCGCCAAGGCCACCACCAACAGACUCCCCUUGAACUCGUGCGUCGAACGCGCUACCUCCCGCGUCCUAGUUCACGCUAAAUCGCCAGAUCCGUGCUCGACCAGAUCUCCCGGCCAUGGCUGCAGUUUUCAAGCUCGUCCCUGCCUACCUGUUCGUUCUUCUUCGGCCGCACCAGUACUUUAACAAGAUCUAAACAGCAGCCCAGAUGGCAACAUCUCCCGCAAAUGGGCUCAGCCCACUUGCCAGCUAGCUUUCUCGCCGCCUAGCGCGCGGCAGGCCGCUAUCCACCGCCGUCUCUGCGCAGGUCCGGCCCAAUUCAUCCCUGCCUUCCCUCUCUUCUUUGUUUUUGCAGAAAAUGUUUAAAUCUUGCGAAAUUCAUAUCUCCUAAACUAUAACUCCAAAUAAAAAGUGUUUUAUAUAAAAAUUGCUCAGAAAAAUAUGUUGAACAUGAUUAUGCCAUCCAUAUGCAUGUUUGCAUCUCGCAUCAUGUCGUGACGUGUAGAUUGUGUAUAUCACCUAAUAUUGAACCGCGGAGUAUUUCGGACACCGCCUAGGGUUUCCCCGCUCCAUUUAAUAUUGAAGUAGCGCACCUCUGCCAUGUUUGCUAUGCUAAUCCACCCUUAAAUUUGUCGGUAGAAAAUGCAACUCCAACUCUAAUUUGUUUGUUCGGGGUUUCGACUCCGAUUAAUAUGGAUAAAUUGCAUUGCACCAUAUUCGCCAUGCCAUGCAUAUCAUCUUGAGCAUGCCGAAUUCUUCUCCGUAGUUGUAAGAUUUGCAUCCGUUGUUUGUUGUACAUUUGCUUCUUCCCGGAUAGGAUCCCAAAGUGGUGAUGCGAGAUACGACGAGUUCUCCGACAAGUUCUUCUACAGUUUUUCACAUGCGAGCCCACCCCUUCACCUAUUUUACAUUUAGAUGCUCUUUUGAUCUAUUGCUAUCCCUAUGUUGCGAUUCUGUUGUGUCACGUGUCCUAUUCCACCUGUUACCCUAUAUGAUCCGAGGUACACCUCCUUGCCCUACCUGAUGUUUGUUGUUUACCAGCUUUGCGAGUCGUAGGCGAGUUUAGGGUCUUGUUGAUAUCUCGAGAUGUUCGGGAUAUCUUGUUGGGAGGUUAUCACAUGCUAUAUCAAUUGUUGGAGAUACACAUGCUUUACUUAUUUGUUAACAACUAAAAUUGUAAGCAGAGGCAUCUGUGAGCCCCCUUGCGAAAGCAUCAGAACUUUGACUUGCUAAUGUCCCCUAGGACCCGAGUUCUUGUUAUCUGUUCCGAGAUUGAGCGCUCUACCCGUACGUGGGGGAGUGGGACCCCCAUCACCCACUACCUUUCCUCGAGUCUGUUUAUUGGGAGCCACAACCUUGGUUUUAUUUGCUCAUAUGCACGAUGCACGAUUUACUUAUGUUGCCUUCGGGUGUUUAUAUUCUGUUCUGUACUCAUAUCGUGGAACGAUUAGCGAAAGCAGGUUGUUCACACUUAGCUUAGCCGUUGUCACAAACCUCUGGGUCCGUAUCGGAGUACGGCCGAACUUCGUCACGGGUAGCUUAGUUGGGUGGCUCCCCUUAAACUUUCUCUUGCAUUGGGAACGGUCUUGUUGUUAGACUUCACCUGUAGUAAGUGGGGUCGAGCAUGCGUAUGGUUACAUUUGGGCAACCCCUGCAGGGUGUACAUCUUAUCGAUAAGCCGUGUCCGCGGUUAUGGACGACUUGGAAUUGUAUAGCUUGAUCAUAGAACAACUUACACCUUAUAUCCUGUUGCUAAUAAUUUGCUAAUAAAACUUUUUUCAAAAAGUGUGUGUGUGCCUUUGACCAUACCUCUUUGCGAAGGGGGAUCGCAUCGGCUGUGUUAUGUUUGCAGAGUAUAGAACUGUUACCUUGUGCGCUCUCUUAUCUUCUCUGAGUAGACAGAUGUUGUAGCGAGUUUCUAUUGGAUAGUAGCUUUGCUGCCGCUAAACUCCACAUAUAGCCGGGUGAAGUUUAUACCGCCCACCAGCGAGCAUAGCUGGUCUUGUCUCGCAAGUACGUGCCAAUGGUACUUACCCUCGCCUUCCUUUCUUUUUGUCUCCUCCCCCUUCUGUCAGCAACCGAUGGCCCAACUUUGACAGGUACGAGAUGAUGACGUUAGCAAGGUUACCCUUCCGGCUUGGCCUGGGCAGGGUUAUGGACGCCGCUGGUUAUCUUCAGGACUCUUAGUCCAAUUUGUAUCUUGUCCGUACUCGGACGUAUUUGAUCUUCUGUAUGAUUUGGAUCUUUGUAUUGUAUAUCUGUAUCUUGACUCGUUGGAGUCGUUGUUGUAUUAUAUGUAUCUUGUGGGCUCUAUUGUAAACCUGUUGUAAUGUU